AGACCGCCACGGUGACUUGCAAGUAACUCACUGUACUUAGGCACUGGACUACCUGAAUUUCUAAUUCAAUGACGGAAGGAUGCUGGGUGUAGUCAAGUACUUGACUUGUCGGUGCGAGUGUCAAGAUGGGAUUGACCACUCCAAUUCAGGAGCCGUGUACAGUCAUAUUUUAAUUUAGCAAAAUCUUGGCCAGGGUAGUCCUAGUGAGGAGUCACAGGACUAUUUGAGUUGAGCACGAUUCGGAUGAUCUGAUCAGGGUUGACAGUUUAACCCUG
rnacentral:lncRNA from 1 species